UUGUCAGUGAGGUAUAUCCUUGCCUGUUACUUCAUUCGUGAAGUAUCAGAACAUGAUGAAUGGUUGAGGAUGAGAUAUGAUUAGUCUCACCCGGUGCCCAGAGAAAAGCAACACUCUGGGUAUCCCAAUCUGAC